rnacentral:rRNA from 1 species
AGCAGCUGCGGUAAUUCCAGCUCCAAUAGCGUAUAUUAAAGUUGUUGCAGUUAAAAAGCUCGUAGUUGAAUUUCGGGACCAAUUUGUUGGUCGUGCCUCGGUACGUACUGGUAUUAUUGGUUUCUCCCUUCUGAAGAAUCUCGAUGCCAUUAAUUUGGUGUCGUGGGGAGUCAGGACUGUUACUUUGAAAAAAUUAGAGUGUUUAAAGCAAGCAUACGCUUGAAUACAUUAGCAUGGAAUAAUGAAAUAGGACGUUUGAUUCUAUUUUGUUGGUUUCUAGGAUCGACGUAAUGAUUAAUAGGGAUAGUUGGGGGCAUUAGUAUUCAAUUGUCAGAGGUGAAAUUCUUGGAUUUAUUGAAGACUAACUACUGCGAAAGCAUUUGCCAAGGAUGUUUUCAUUAAUCAAGAACGAAAGUUAGGGGAUCGAAGACGAUCAGAUACCGUCGUAGUCUUAACCAUAAACUAUGCCGAUAGGGAUCGGAUGAUGUUAAUUUUUAAUGUACUCAUUCGGC